AGAGUCCACAUCGACGGGGAGGUUUGGCACCUCGAUGUCGGCUCAUCACAUCCUGGGGCUGUAGUAGGUCCCAAGGGUUGGGCUGUUCGCCCAUUAAAGUGGUACGCGAGCUGGGUUCAGAACGUCGGGAGACAGUUCGGUCCCUAUCCGUCGCAGGCGUAGGAAAUUUGAGAAGACCUGUCCUUAGUACGAGAGGACCGGGAUGGACGUACCUCUGGUGUACCAGUUGU
rnacentral:rRNA from 1 species